GACCGAUCUGCGCACGCGCGUCACCUGAGCCGAUUCGCCGAGCUGCCACUCUGGGGACCCGGAUAAAGGCGCGCCCACGGGGACUUUGGGAUUAGAUCCCUGACUCCUUGCAGUGAUGGAAGAGGCUACACCAGGAGAUGCCUCCCUGAGUGUCUACCCUUCUGAGAAAAAGCAGCACCCAAGCUGAGCGUGGAGGCUGCAGCGAAAUCCAUCUGCUGCAAGGCAACCCCAGGAAACAGGUCAAGGAGACUCUACCUCCAUCCUCACUGCAGAGCCUCAAGCUGUCACCCUGGGUAGCGUGCCGUAGCAUCACAGCUCACAGUAACCUCCAACUCCUGGGCUCAAGCGAUUCUCCUGCCUCUGCCUCCCAAGUAGCUGGGACUACAGGUGCCUGCCACAGCGCCCGGCUAUAUUUUGGUUGCAGCUGUCAUUGUUGUUUGGCAGGCCCCUGCCAGUUCAGGUGUAUGUCGCUGGUGCCCUAGCUGCUUGAGCCACAGGUGCCGAGCCCAGUGGGUUGUUUUAAUGUCAUAAAAAAAAAAACUAAAAAGAUCUAGUUGUACUGAGUCUCUGCAAAUCUUUGCUAUGGCCCUGUCCUGAGGAUAUGGAAGUGUUAGGUUCACAGAGCUGGGCUCCAGAAGGGAUCCUAGGAUUUGUGCCUUAGGGAGCUCUGUAGAGUGAUGGGUCUAAUGCAAAAGCUUUUACUACUGGUAGAAAUCUAUGUUUUUUCCUUGAAAAUAUGGCUUUUUUAUCCCCAGUAAACCAAAAGAGAUAAUGUCAAGUAAAAGCAUUUUGUAAACUAUGAAGUGCUAAAUAAAUGUAAGGGCUGGGCAUGGUGGCUCAUCACUAUAAUCCCAGCAUUUUGGGAGGCCAAGAAGAGAGGAUUUGCUUGAGGCCAGGAAUUUGAGGCAACAUAGAGGCCCAUCUCUACAAAAAGUUAAAAAAAUUAGCUGAGCAUGAUGGCACACACCCAUAGUCCUAGCUAUGCAGGAAGCUGACUCAGGAGGAUUGCUUGAGCCCAGGAGUUCAAGAUUACACUGAGCUAUGGUCAUGCUACUGCACUGUAGCCUAGGCAAGAAUGAACCUGUCUCACACACACACAAAUAAGGCAGCCAAGUACUUAAUUACGACUCUCACUAAAUGAUCUUACCUUCUCCUUUCACUGACAAAACAAAUUUAGCUCACUUUCAAGAAUCAUAGGAGAGAAACCAAAAGCCAAAAAUAAAGGUGAACAUACA